UAAGCCGGGUUCUGUCGUGGACAAUCAUUCCUCUAGGCUUGCAUUUACACACAAGCUCAAGCAACCUACCCGAACUCUCGGCGGGCCACCGAUUGAGUUCCUAUUUGGUCUUGCUACGAGUGGAGUUUACCUAGCUGCCAAAUGUUACCACUGGCACGGUGCGCUCUUACCGCACCCUUUCACCCUUACCAGCCAAAGCUGGCGGUCUGCUCUCUGUUGCACUAGUCGUAGGCUCGAGCCCCCCGGAUGUAUC
rnacentral:misc_RNA from 1 species